CCUUCGGGAGGAGAGAAGGAAUUUUCCGAAUGGCAAUGUCUGCGGGAACGCGCGUGCAGGCGCGGCUUCGGGUUGUAAACUGCUUUUGGGUGGGCGAUGAUGACGGUACCACCCGAAUAAGCCCGGCUAACUCCGUGCCAGCAGCCGCGGUAAGACGGAGGGGGCAAGCGUUGUCCGGACUCACUGGGCGUAAAGCGUGCGUAGGUGGUGCGAUGCGUCGGCGCUGAAAGCCGGCUUAACCGGGCGACGGGCGACGAUACGAUCGCACUGGAGGCAGGGAGACGUUGGUGGAAUUCCGGGUGUAGUGGUGAAAUGCGUAGAGAUCCGGAGGAAUGCCGGUGGCGUAAGCGGCCAACGAGUCCUGACCUGACACUGAGGCACGAAAGCGUGGGGAGCAAACCCGAUUAGAUACCCGGUUAGUCCACGCCGUAAACGAUGUCGGCUAGGUGUGUGAUCGGGGUGACCCGUGGCGUGCCGAAGUUACGCGGUAAGGCGACCGCUGGGG
rnacentral:rRNA from 1 species